rnacentral:rRNA from 1 species
AUGGACCAGCACAAGGAGCUGGAGGUAGAUGUGGAGGGAGAACCGACGGAUCAGCGCAAGGAGGCGGAGGCGGGGGCGGGCAAGCCUGAAGAACCCGCGGAUCAGCGCAAGGAGGAGGAAGGAGACAACCUCAAAGAGCCAACGGAUCAGAGUAAGGAGGAGGAGCGGCGGGAGGAGGGAGACAACCUCAAAGAGCCAACGGACCAGCGCAAGGAGGACGAGAAGGAGGACAAGUCUGAAGAGCUGACCGACCAGCGCAAGGCGGAGGCGGUGGCGGUGGCGGUGGCGGUGGCGGUGGCGGUGGCGGAGGUGGAGGUGGACAAGUCUGAAGAGCUCACCGACCAGCGCAAGGAGGAGGCGGGGGAGGAGAAGGACAAGGAGACGGAGAGGAGCUCCGGCGAGGAGUCGCCGUCGCUCUUCGUGCACCCGUGCUCGGUGCUGCUGCGGUACCUCGUCCGUGCCUACGCGUGGUGCAUGGGUAUGGCCGACUGGUUCGGCGGCGGCGGCACAAGGCCGAGCGCCGCUCCUGCCGCGUCUCUUAACUCGUCACGGGAAGAAGCAGGCGAGGCGGCGGACAUCGGGACCAGGGAGAUCUCCAAGACCACCACUGGCAGAGGGUUCUACAUGCGGGAGGUGAUCAUGCGCGUGAGGGCGGUGAGGAGGCCGCGGCCGCCGACCACUCCGAGGGAAGGGCGCGGCGGCGGUGGAGGAAGCCACAACUAG